UACAGAGGUCUCAAGCGUUGUUCGGAUUCAUUAGGCGUAAAGGGUGCGUAGGCGGUGCUCUAAGUUCGGUGUGAAAUCUCCUGGCUUAACUGGGAGGGUGCGCCGGAAACUGGAGUGCUUGAGCGUGGGAGAGGAAAGCGGAAUUCCUGGUGUAGCGGUGAAAUGCGUAGAUAUCAGGAGGAACACCUGUGGUGUAGACGGCUUUCUGGACCAUUGCUGACGCUGAGACACGAAAGCGUGGGUAGCAAACAGG
rnacentral:rRNA from 1 species